rnacentral:lncRNA from 1 species
AUUACCUAUAUGAAUAGAUAAAAGUAUGUAAAAGUAGAUAAAAGUAGGUUAAUUGUGUAAUAUCUUCUAGAGAAGCUUCUUAGAAGCUUCAUAGACGCUACUUUGACUUUAUAGGAGUCUAUAGUUGACUUUUAGGUUAGAAACUUGGUCAACAAGUUAGCCAUGUGCCACACAUGUUGGAAGCUUAAAGAACAAGCUAACUACGUGGUCCAUCCAUAGAAAACUUGCCUUGCAAGCAAAGGCAUGUGGCCUAGAAAGUCAACAUAUAUUGGAGGUCUUAUAGAACAUCGCCACGUGGCCCCUAGUUAGAUAGUAUAUAUAGAGACAAGAGUGAAGGCUUCUUCACUCUUGUCAACUCCUUUCUUGCUUCUAGUCCAGGUUCAAGAGUCUUUAGUUUCUUGUCUUUUGGCAAUAGCCAUUCCAGUUUCCUUUUAAUAUACCUACUUGUUUAUAUUUUGACUUAUAAUAUCGAGAUAGCCUUUUGGUGUAUAUUUUUCCUCAUCGAGUCUUUGUCCUUGACAGAUUGACAAGAGUACACUUACAAUAUCAGAGCUUUGUUUUUUCUUGAGUAAGAGUGGAUUACCCCUUUCUCUUGACAAGACAUAAGCGUAUUAGAAGUUUGCGGAUUACCCACUUCUAAACUGAUAUUGUUCUUAGUAUCUUCUUUGUUAUCAAGUCUUUCUUUUCUUCUGUCUUGAGCAAUAUCAAACAAAUUUUUCUUCUUAGUGUCAUUAUGGCAGAGCUUGUUGAAAUGAAGAGUGCAAUGGCACAAAUGCAAGAGCAAAUGAGGGAGUUAAUGCUUGCGAUGCAUCAACUCAAUUCACCAACACAGGAAAGAACAAGAAUGGCAAAAAGUGGGGAUAUAGAGAUGAUCGGAGCUGCUUCAACAUCUACAACAAAUCACGUUCCUUCUCCAAUUGUACAACACCCUGUAAGCACUAGAGAACCAAGAAUUGCUUUACCCGAGAAAUUUGAUGGUACGAGAUCAAAGUUUCGAGGGUUCAUCAAUCAAGUACAAUUGGUAAUUGAACUUCAACCGCAAAGCUAUCCAACUCCAGGAUCACAAGUCAGGUUUAUUGGCACUCUACUUUCUGGUUCUGCAUUAUCGUGGUUUUCGUCUUUUCUUGAACAACGAAAUCCAAUAUUGGACAAUUUGGAAGCUUUUUUGGCGGAGUUUCGAUCUAUGUAUGGUGAACACGAUGCAACUCGUGUUGCAACAAAUAAGAUCCGAAUUCUGCAACAAGGAAAUCGCUCAGUAACAGUAUAUGCUUCACAAUUUUGACAACUUGUAAUUGACAUCAAGUGGGAUGAUGCUGCACUCAUCAGUCAAUUUCUUUAUGGAUUGCAAUACGAAGUAAAGAAAUUGAUGCUCAACUUACCUGAUCCUCAAACUUUGAGUCAAGCAAUCGAUUUUGCGGUAAAAUGUGAUAAUCGACUUUUUGAAUUUCGAUCUGAGAAUCAUUCACGGGAACCUCAACGUUAUUACUCAAUGGCAACAUCAACAUCUUUGCCAAACGUACAUUCGGAAGUAGAAGACAUGCAAAUUGACGCGGUACGUUUUAAACCCCUAACUGAGCAAGAAAAGAUUCAUCGUCGUCAAGAAGGAUUAUCUUUAUAUUGCGGAGAACCUAAGUACACUGCUCAACAUUGUCCAAAAAAAUGACGCAACUAAAAAAUGAGGGGUACGACGGUCAAAGAAGACAACAUGUCGGAAAACGGAUUCGUCCAGCUACAAUAGGGACCUUGCAGCUGGAACCUUGUACAAUUCCUAAUGAAGGUCCUAUCCUCUCCUCAGAACCCUCUCCUUGUUUUAUAAUAGACUUAUAUUUAGGACCUAAGAAUUACAAAGCCUCUGCUUUAUUAGAUUCGAGAGCCUCAACAUGUUUUUUAGAUGAACAAUUUGUUAAAAGUCGUAAAAUACCCUAUGUACACAAACCUAAACCAAUACAUGUAGAAGUCAUAGAUGGUCGUCCCUUGUCUUCUGGAGAUGUCACUCAUGAAACUCAUCCUAUAAAAGUAACAAUAGACGGUCAUGAUAGCUACAUAGCUUUUAACAUAAUUAAAUCCCCGUCUAAUCCAGUUAUUUUAGGUUUAUCCUGGCUAGAAAAAUAUAACCCUCGAAUAGAUUGGAAUUCGCGUAAACUUGACUUUUCCAAAAGCGUUAUUAAUAGUUCUAUGAACCAAGUAAAAAAUUAUAAGUCUAGUACAGUAAAACCCGUACUGAUAGGUGCAAAAGCAUUUAUACACGCAGCAAAAGAAGGAUCAACUUUUGCUAUUUAUGCUGCACCUAUUUCUGAAAACGUAAAGACUUCAAGUGGCAUUCCAAGUCAAUAUCAGGAGUAUCAAGACGUUUUUGAGAAAAAGAAUGCAGAUAUUCUUCCUGAGCAUCGUCCAUAUGAUUGUUCAAUCGACCUCAAGGAAGGAACUCAGCCACCAUUUGGACCAAUUUACAGUUUAUCGCAAGAUGAGAUGGCUGAACUCAAGACAUAUAUUGACGAGAAUUUAGCGAAGAAUUUCAUACGCCAUUCAAAAUCUCCAGCAGGAGCUCCAAUUCUAUUCGUAAAGAAAAAAGAUGGAUCUUUACGAAUGUGUGUUGAUUAUCGAGGACUCAACAAGAUCACAAUCAAGAACAGGUAUCCAUUACCUUUGAUAUCAGGACUCCUUGACCAGUUGAAUCAAGCUAAGAUCUAUACAAAAAUAGAUCUAAGAGGAGCAUAUAAUCUAGUACGGAUCAAAGAAGGAGAUGAAAGGAAGACUGCAUUUCGAACCAGGUAUGGACAUUUUGAAUAUAAUGUCAUGCCCUUUGGACUCACAAAUGCACCAGCUGCUUUUCAACAUCUCAUGAAUGAUGUAUUUCGUGACUUCUUAGACAAUUUUGUCGUCUGCUACCUAGACGAUAUCCUGAUCUAUUCUAACAACGUCGAAGAACAUGAAAUACAUGUUCGUCAAGUAUUACAAAAACUUAGAGAUGCAGGAUUGUACGCCAAGAUGGAAAAGUGUGUAUUUCACACUAUUCAAGUUGAUUUUUUAGGAUACAUCAUUUCAAAUGAUGGUCUCAUGAUGGAUUCUAAGAAAGUCCAAACAAUCGUGGAUUGGAAGAUUCCAAGGACAGUAAGAGAUGUUCAAUGUUUCUUGGGAUUUGCGAAUUACUAUCGGAUCUUCAUCAAAGAUUUCUCACGAGUUGGAGCUCCACUUACACGCUUGACUAGUAAAGAUAAAUUUCAAUGGAAUCAAGAAGCGGAAGCAGCAUUUGAAGCCUUGAAGACAUCGUUUGUCUCUGCACCAGUCUUAUAUUGUGUUGACUUUUCCAAGACAUUUUUUAUGGAAACAGAUGCAUCAGAUUUUGCCUUGGGUGCAGUUUUAUCACAAAUGGGAACAGAUGACAAACUCCAUCCGAUAGCUUUUCAUUCAAGAAAAUUCUCAGCAGCCGAGAUCAAUUAUGAGAUCCACGAUAAAGAACUUCUUGCGAUCGUGGAUUCCUUUCAAGAAUGGCCUCAUUAUCUAGAAGGCGCUUCUAGUCCAGUCACUGUGUAUACAGAUCACAAGAACCUCGAGUAUUUCAUGUCAGCAUGCGUGUUGAAUCGUCGUCAAGCUCGUUGGAGUAUGUCUUUGUCAAGAUUCGAGUUCAUUAUCACUUAUCGACCAGGAAAACAACAAGGUUUAUCCGAUGCCCUAUCUAGACGUUCUUAUUUUGCACCAAAAGAAGGAGAUGCAGCUUUUGAGCAACAAAGAACGGUCCUCUUGAAACCGGAGCAAUUUCAUCUCCGAGCAAUGAAAUCAACAUUGACGGUUGAUUCAACUUUUCUCAAGCAAAUCCAGUCCAGUAUGUCCUCAGACCCUCUUGUUUAUGAUAUCGAGAAUAAUUCUUCCAAGUCUCAUGAUCCUUCUAAGUUUGAGUUCAAGAAUAAUCUAUUAUAUUUUGAAGGACGCCUAUAUGUUCCAGAAGGAGAAGCACGUUUACGUGUUCUUCAAGCACGUCAUGACUUUCCAGCAGCAGGGCACUUUAGAUAUAAUAAGACUUUGAAACUUAUAUCAAGAGAUUUUUGGUGGCCACAAAUGUGGAAGUCAGUCAAAGACUUUGUACAAUCAUGUGAUAUUUGUUCAAGAUCAAAAAUUCCUCGUCAUCGACCUUACGGACUUCUUCAGCCAUUACCUAUCCCAGAACAACCAUGGUCUUCUGUUUCUAUGGAUUUCAUCACAGAUCUUCCAAGCUCAAGAUCUUAUGAUUCUAUAUUUGUGAUAGUAGAUCGUUUCACCAAGAUGGCACAUUUUGUGCCAUGUACAAAAUCUAUCACAGGUGAAGAAACAGCUAAGCUUUUCAUUGAUAAUAUCUAUCGCUAUCAUGGAUUACCUAAAGAUAUCAUAUCGGAUAGGGAAACUCAAUUUGUGUCAAGAUUUUGGAGGACCCUUUUUAAGAUUUUAAAAGUGGACAUAAAGCUAUCUUCGGCUUUCCAUCCUCAAACUGAUGGACAAACAGAGCGCGUAAACCAAGUCUUGGAGCAAUAUUUAAGGUGUACUAUCAACUACCAACAAGAUGAUUGGACAACCUUUCUGCCAUUGGCAGAGUUUGCUUAUAAUAAUACGGUAUAUUCUUCCACGCAACAAACACCUUUCUUUGCCAAUUAUGGCUAUCAUCCACGACUUGAUACUUUUGAUUUUUCAAAAGUUGAUAAUCCUGCAGCAGAAGAUAUGGCAAAUCGGUUGUCAGAGUUACAUGCAAUAAUGAAGACACAAUUGAAGGAAGCUCAAGAACGACAAAAGAUAAACGCAGAUCUAUAUCGUAAGGAGCAACCACAAAUCAACGUGGGUGAUAAGGUAUGGCUACUUCGUCGCAAUAUCAAAACUACUCGACCUUGUGACAAGUUGGACUGUCCUAGGUUUGGCCCCUUUUCUGUUUCUGAACAGAUCAACCCAGUUGCAUAUCGGUUACAUCUUCCAGAGUCAAUGAAGAUCCAUCCUGUAUUCCACGUAUCUCUUCUUGAACCAUAUAAGACAGUGGAUAUACAAGGAAGAAGACAAAUGCCACCGCCUCCUAUAGAAGUAGAUAAUAAUGAAGAAUUUGAGGUGGAAGAGAUAUUAGACUCAAGGCGGCGCCGAAAUAAGCUGGAAUAUCUUGUUCAUUGGCGCGGAUAUGAUAUUAGUGAGCGCACAUGGGAGCCAUCCAGGAAUCUAGCAAAUGCAUCCGCUAAAGUCAAAGUUUUUCAUCAACGACAUCCAUCAAAACCAAGAUGAAAACCUCUCUUAUAAAAGAAACAAGAUUGAGGCAAGAUAACAUUCAAUUUCCUAUCCUUGUUUGUAACUUCUUUGCAUUUGUGACGCUAAUUAGAUGGAGAGCCAACAACCAGCGGAUUCAACUCAAGAACCUUCGUUUGCUGACUUACCGGAUGAGAAAUUGCGAUCGUCACAACCUUCAAGACGACGCAACCGAGAUGAAGACCCUCAAGAACGACAUGUUCUUCCUCGAAUAGAUGGUGAGAUACAACGCGUUUGGUAUCACGACCUUGGAAGAGAUUCUCGAUGUUUGGUGAUAUUAUUGGAGAUAGGAACGACUCCUGAUGGUGUUUCAAAUGUAUUAUUUGAAGGAAGUUAUGAAGGCCUCAACAGUGAUCAAAUAACAGGGUGGUCUUCUCGCCCUGAAAUGGGACACUAUCGAUGGCUAAGAGGACCCAUCAACUAUCUUCGAAGAGAACAAAGAUCAGAGUAUGUAGCAAAUACAAUGCGCCGCAUAUUAGAUUUUCUCAAUAUAUAAUCACCGCUCCUCGUGGAACUCGUCUCUAGAAGUGGAGGUAAUGUCACGGACAUACAUAUAAUUACCUAUAUGAAUAGAUAAAAGUAUGUAAAAGUAGAUAAAAGUAGGUUAAUUGUGUAAUAUCUUCUAGAGAAGCUUCUUAGAAGCUUCAUAGACGCUGCUUUGACUUUAUAGGAGUCUAUAGUUGACUUUUAGGUUAGAAACUUGGUCAACAAGUUAGCCAUGUGCCACACAUGUUGGAAGCUUAAAGAACAAGCUAACUACGUGGUCCAUCCAUAGAAAACUUGCCUUGCAAGCAAAGGCAUGUGGCCUAGAAAGUCAACAUAUAUUGGAGGUCUUAUAGAACAUCGCCACGUGGCC